GAUGAACGCUGGCGGCGUGCAGUAACACAUUCAAGUCGAACGGAGUUACUGGAGAGCUUGCUCAAAGGUAACUUAGUGGCGGACGGGUGAGUAACGCGUGAGCAACCUGCCUUGGCAUGGGGGAUAACGUUUGGAAACGAACGCUAAUACCGCAUAUCGCAUAGACCUCGCAUGGGGAUUAUGCAAAAGAUUUAUUGUGCUAAGAUGGGCUCGCGUCCCAUUAGAUAGUUGGUGAGGUAACGGCCCACCAAGUCGACGAUGGGUAGCCGAACUGAGAGGUUGAACGGCCACAUUGGAACUGAGAUACGGUCCAG
rnacentral:rRNA from 1 species